rnacentral:rRNA from 1 species
CCUACGGGUGGCAGCAGUGGGGAAUAUUGCACAAUGGGGGAAACCCUGAUGCAGCAACGCCGCGUGAGUGAAGAAGUAUUUCGGUAUGUAAAGCUCUAUCAGCAGGGAAGAAAAUGACAGUACCUGACUAAGAAGCCCCGGCUAACUACGUGCCAGCAGCCGCGGUAAUACGUAGGGGGCAAGCGUUAUCCGGAUUUACUGGGUGUUAAGGGGGCGUAGACGGCUGGGCAAGUCAGGAGUGAAAGCCCGGGGCUCAACCGCGGGACUGCAUUUGAAACUGGGUAGCUAGAGUGCAGGAGAGGAAGGUGGAAUUCGUGGUGUAGCGGUGAAAUGCGUAGAUAUUAGGAGGAACACCGAUGGCGAAGGCAGCUUACUGGACUGUGACUGACGUUGAGGCUCGAAGGCGUGGGGAGCAAACAGGAUUAGAUACCCGAGUAGUC